AUUUAUGGCCAUACCAUCUUGUAUGCUCCCAAUCUCAUCUGUCUUGGAAACUAAGCAGGGUCAGGCCUAAUUCUUGGAUAGGAGAAAUAUGAGGAAGACAUUGUGUAUC
rnacentral:rRNA from 1 species